rnacentral:snRNA from 1 species
AUACCUUUCUCGGCCUUUUGGCUAAGAUCAAGUGUAGUAUCUGUUCUUAUCAGUUUAAUAUCUGAUAUGUGGGCCAUGUGCCCACAACGAUAUUAAAUUUAUUUUUUGUGGGGGAGGGCCCACCACAGUGGCUUGCCACUGGGGCCCUCAGGUGUCGACCAGUGCGUUGCACUAUUGCCUGGGCAGGCGCACCCCAA